UGAGAUUUGAUUCUUGCUCAAUUGAUGUUAUGGUUGUUAAUUGAUGUUGUAGUUGAUGAAUCAUUGCUUGGGUAUGCAUAUUCAUGAAUUGAUUAUGAGAAUUUGAAUUGUUGUUGGUGUUUUAUGUAAAUGGGUUGAUUUGGUGAAUUGGCUAAAAGUGAGAUUGAUUUUCAUGUUCAAUGUGUUUAUGAGUAUCCUUGUGAGUUAUAUGACCUAUAAACAUUCUUUGGAAACAUGUUUGGGCAUUGGGAGAUCAAAAUUGGGAGUUUUGGG
rnacentral:lncRNA from 1 species